rnacentral:rRNA from 1 species
AGGGAAUCUUCCACAAUGGACGCAAGUCUGAUGGAGCAACGCCGCGUGAGUGAAGAAGGCUUUCGGGUCGUAAAACUCUGUUGUUGGAGAAGAAUGGUCGGCAGAGUAACUGUUGUCGGCGUGACGGUAUCCUACCAGAAAGCCACGGCUAACUACGUGCCAGCAGCCGCGGUACUACGUAGGUGGCAAGCGUUAUCCGGAAUUACUGGGCGUAAAGCGUGCGCAGGCGGUUAUGUAAGACAGAGGUGAAAUCCCCGGGCUCAACCUGGGAACGGCCUUUGUGACUGCAUAGCUAGAGUACGGUAGAGGAGGAUGGAAUUCCGCGUGUAGCAGUGAAAUGCGUAGAUAUGCGGAGGAACACCGAUGGCGAAGGCAAUCGCCUGGACCUGUACUGACGCUCAUGCACGAAAGCGUGGGGAGCAAACA